rnacentral:rRNA from 1 species
UACGAAGGGUGCAAGCGUUACUCGGAAUUACUGGGCGUAAAGCGUGCGUAGGUGGUUCGUUAAGUCUGAUGUGAAAGCCCUGGGCUCAACCUGGGAAUGGCAUUGGAAACUGGCGACCUAGAGUGCGGUAGAGGGUAGUGGAAUUCCCGGUGUAGCAGUGAAAUGCGUAGAGAUCGGGAGGAACAUCCGUGGCGAAGGUGACUACCUGGACCAGCACUGACACUCAUGCACGAAAGCGUGGGGAGCAAACAGG